GACGUAGGGCGCGAGCGUUGUCCGGAUUUAUUGGGCGUAAAGAGCUCGUAGGCGGCUUGUCGCGUCGACUGUGAAAUCCCCCAGGCUCAACCUGGGAACUGCGUCCGAUACUGGCAGGCUUGAAUCCGGGAGAGGGAUGUGGAAUUCCAGGUGUAGCGGUGAAAUGCGUAGAUGAUCUGGAGGAACACCGGUGGCGAAGGCGGCAUCCCUGGCCGGUAUUGACGGCU
rnacentral:rRNA from 1 species